GACUCGUCGAAUCGACUAAUUCAAGUUUGUACUUUUGCCUUUGGUUAGCAGCUGCAAAUGAAAUAUGCAUUGCAGGUCCUGGUCGAACUAAUUGUCUUUUCGUUUUGAUGAACAUUUAAGCAUUGGAGCUGAGCUGGUAACCCGUCGCAUUCCAGGCAGUUAAGGUUUGACGCUCGAAGUUGAAGCUGGGGCAAGUCUUGUGCUGUGGUUAAUGUGGAUGACCUGCAAGACAACUAGUAUGCUGGAUAUACAAUUCUGAUGGCUCCAAUCGCUUACACGACAUGCUUCCUCCCCCAAUCAGUAUGGGCAAUAAUUCCCUUUCG
rnacentral:lncRNA from 1 species